CGUUAUGGCAACGAAAUAUUUAAUUUAAAUAAUUGAUACUCAUUUUGAGACAAAGACACAAUUAAUUAUCGCGUAUAAUCCCUGAAAUAUUUAGCAUAGCUAGAAAUGUCACAAUUCACCAUUUAGAAUGUUAGCUCGAUGCUAAUCCGUUAUGGGGUUUACUAUUUCCGUGCUGACGGAAAUUAGCAUCGCGUCCGCUGGUAAUGAUCAUCUUCAACACUGCAAAGCCGCGUGUGUAAUUCAUCUUACGAAACGUGGAGAAAGACGUCGGCACGGAGAAGGCAAGAUUAUCCCUCCAGUGGAUUUCUACUUGACAGAGAGUGGGCUGCUUUUGAACUUUCACUGACUGAAGCCUCUUCUCACUCCCUAGCUGCUCAUGAGACACAAGUGGCUCAGACAUAUGGGGGGUGGGGGGCUUGCAAAGAGGGUGAUGUCAGACGCAGAGAAAAAAGAAAAAGUCGAGGGAGAGAAGCUUCAGGGAAUGAAGGAGGAGAUACGGUAAACAAGACAAGAGCCUCUGCUGUUUGUCCAGUAAACUGGUUUGCUGAUGGUUAAAUUCUGUGAAUAUUUAUUUCUGGCAUUCUUCACUGGACAUUUUCAGAAAUAAUCAAAGAAAUGAUAUCGUAGAAGCCGAACAGAGCUGCUUCUAUGAUGGAAACACCUGCAAACUGUCAGAGUCACCAAAUACACAAUAUCCAUGUUCAACCUCUGCAUGUUUUGUUGGGCUGGUAGCUUGUUAGUAUGAUUAUUUUCUAGAAUGCAAUGAAAACUAAAAUCUGUCAUUUUUUAAUGUGAUUAAAAAAAAGAGAUGAUA